GACAGGAUUGAUGUGAGAUCUUACAAGCUUUCAUUAUCAUCCAGUGCUUGUGUCACAUAGCUGCCCUUCCCUACUUCUCAGCCCUCCAAAAGGCACAAUGUCUUCCAUCAGGCAAAAGUGACACCACAACAUUCAUUAUAGGAAGUAAGAGACAUUCAUCACUGGAAUAUUUUAGCAAAUGAAUCACAACAGACUGAUAGCAUAACUCAUGUUCUAAGGCCAAGAACAAGAAUUGCAUAGUUUAUUUUAAGACAGCAGAAGAGUAAAAAACAGAUUGAAAAACAUAUGAUACCCUCUCCAGCUCAGAGCUCUACAAACAGCAGUGGCGUUUGCAAAGUUCUAUGUAUCUUCUCAAAUGUGGUUUCAGUUUUAAUGUGUGUUGACAUCUUUGUGUGCAGAACUAACUGGAGGAACAACAGUUUGUGCUUUUUUUCCCUUCUUGCUACAAGGGUGAGAACAGGGAAAGAACCAAACGAUCUGUGUUUACUUUGAGCAGCCAUACACCAUGCAUGGACACUAAGCUUCUUACUGCUUCUGAUUAGUGACCUCAAUUGAGACUCAUUGCUCAUUGCAAAGACUGCUAAUGGAUUGUUUGAGCCUGAAUGUGUUAGGAUGGAAUAUUUCUUCUUCUCAGAUUCAAGAGCCCUGAAAACCCUGUUCAUUGUUGCUAGGAGAUGGGUGGCUAUGGCAACAGUGUGGGUCAGAGCCAGAUGGAAUGCCUAAAGCAUAAUCAGGUUUAGGCUUUUUUUUGAUCUCCAAAUGACUCCAUGGCAGUCCUGAGCACGGAAGCCCCAAAUCACUGCCUCUUCAGCUUGUUUCAAAAGACUGAGUCUCACACUGUCACCCGGGCUGGAGUGCAGUAGUGUGAUCUUGGUUCACUGCAACCACCGCCUCCCAGGUUCAAGCAAUUCUUCUGCCUCAGCUUCCUGAGUAGCUGGGAUUACAGGAGCCAGCCACCACACCCAGACAUAUUCCUUGAAGGUAGAAUCACUGUCAGCAGAGUCCUUGCCAGGAACGACUUUCCAGUGAAGGAGACAAUGGAAAUUUGGACAACAUUUUGAAAACCACUAACAGUAACAACGUGUUAAUAAUAAUUAAAACAUUAAGAUGAAGAAGACAAAGAAGGAGAAAUAUGAAGGGAUUGCUAAUUGCUGGUGUUCUGCAUUUGUUUUCUUAUUUAAUCCUCAUCAUAACCUUAUGAGGUGUUUCUCUCGGGAAAAGAGAGAAAUUGUUGGCAGAAAAUAAUGAAAACACAAGGACUUGUGCUAUGUGCUGAAAGAAUUGCUCCUGAAACGAUAAAGGUGAAAUGCAGAUAAAGACAAUCAAGAUACAGCCUUUUUUAAAAAAUUAUUUCCAUUCCAGUCCUAUCCAUCCUGGCUAUAAAGUGACUCUCAACCCAAAGAUCUGGAAACUCCAGUUAAAUAAUGCACAUUUAAUUAUUUUGGUGCCCUUUUGGUAUCUAAUGCAUGCUAUAGAUGAUUGCACUGUCAUUUUAACACUGAGAGGUACAAAAUAAUAGGUCCAUUUUCAAAAGACGUGGCCUUAACAGAACUAGUAUUUUUACUUUUAGUAUCCAAAGUACUAGAAUAAAGGAAACUGCUAAAUGUAACGUAAAGUGGAAAUGCAC
rnacentral:lncRNA from 1 species